GCAAAGGGGGCUACUGCGCCUUUAAACUCGUGAACGCGCUGGGCAGCGCGAGAGGGAGCGUUUACGAGCGGCGGGAGGAUUCAGUGACAGGAGAGGCAAGCUGAAGUUGUGUGUUCUGGGAGCAGUCCACGUGUGCGGAUCGAUAAACUCGUAUUGAGUGUCGAGUAAGUGUUCCUUUGUAAUUAAAAAGUGCAACGUUAGUACGUCUCGGUUGGGUAGUGGUGUGUUUGCCACCCUCCGUUUGUUUUGUUGUUGUAUAACACUGUAAUACGAACCGCUGGCAGUUGUAAAUGGGUGUAGCUAAUGCUAAUGAUACGGGAAGAUAAACACUGAAGGGGGUACGAAUAGAAAGGACAACAGAGACAUCAAGACGGAUGUGAAGUUGUGUAGAAACGUUCGUAUUAUCCGUUAGACGUGUUUAUCGCUCUCUAGAGCCGUUUUAUUUGCGUUGCCAGGACCGCUCUGGAAAAUUGUUUUUGAACUAUCCGUUACGCUAGCUGCCACUUCGCCGCCGUCCACCCGAACGUUCCGAAGCCAUUCAGUAGCCUGUGUCAGAAGACAGCUGACUGUUUACCCUGCCCUCCAUGUCCAGCAUCGCGACGGGACUUCUGGAAUCCCGUCGCCUGGUGAUGCUGGAUGGUAUGGCAGGGUUUCGCAGGGGGGAAUGUAGCGGGAGCAAAGGGGGCUACUGCGCCUUUAAACUCGUGAACGCGCUGGGCAGCGCGAGAGGGAGCGUUUACGAGCGGCGGGAGGAUUCAGUGACAGGAGAGGCAAGCUGAAGUUGUGUGUUCUGGGAGCAGUCCACGUGUGCGGAUCGAUAAACUCGUAUUGAGUGUCGAGUAAGUGUUCCUUUGUAAUUAAAAAGUGCAACGUUAGUACGUCUCGGUUGGGUAGUGGUGUGUUUGCCACCCUCCGUUUGUUUUGUUGUUGUAUAACACUGUAAUACGAACCGCUGGCAGUUGUAAAUGGGUGUAGCUAAUGCUAAUGAUACGGGAAGAUAAACACUGAAGGGGGUACGAAUAGAAAGGACAACAGAGACAUCAAGACGGAUGUGAAGUUGUGUAGAAACGUUCGUAUUAUCCGUUAGACGUGUUUAUCGCUCUCUAGAGCCGUUUUAUUUGCGUUGCCAGGACCGCUCUGGAAAAUUGUUUUUGAACUAUCCGUUACGCUAGCUGCCACUUCGCCGCCGUCCACCCGAACGUUCCGAAGCCAUUCAGUAGCCUGUGUCAGAAGACAGCUGACUGUUUACCCUGCCCUCCAUGUCCAGCAUCGCGACGGGACUUCUGGUUGGUCGUGGAUAAUUAAUGCACUACACUUCACUUGCAUCACAACCCACACACACAUACAUACAACACCGCUGAUAACACUCGCAGAGUCAACUGAACUGAACUGAACUGGACUUGUGUUGACCCGUGCCGCUAUACAUACACACACACAGUGGUGUCUGGAGAGACUUUGGGGAUUGUCCUCGCCACUGAGCCAGCCUCCAUUCCACACACACACACACACACACACACACACACACACACACACACACACACACACACAGACAUACAUACACACACACACACACACAGUGGUAUCUGGAGAGACUUUGGGGAUUGCCCUCGCCACUGAGCCAGCCUCCAUUUCACCCAUCCACUCACACACACAUGCUUUGCCGUGCUAUGCACAGCCUACGUCCAACUUAAAGGUGUUUUGUUUUUUUGAGGUUACAAGAAGCACCUUCUCUUAGUGUAGUUACAAAAGAUAUGUCUUUGUGUGUUUACAUGUGAAUGAGAUAUAUUACUGAUGUUACAGACUGAGUUGCGCUAUGUUUGCCAACCUCAGUGAAUGUUAAGACAUUUAAGGUAUUGGGUGUUAAAUACAUUUUCCCUACUGUGAAA